AGAGGAUACACCUGUUCCCAUUCCGAACACAGAAGUUUAAGCUCUCUAGCGCUGAUGGUACUUGGUGGGAAACUGCCUGGGAGAGUAGGACGUAGCCACGU
rnacentral:rRNA from 1 species